AACGAACGCUGGCGGCAGGCCUAACACAUGCAAGUCGAACGCCCCGCAAGGGGAGUGGCAGACGGGUGAGUAACGCGUGGGAACCUACCUUGUGGUACGGAACAACCAAGGGAAACUUUGGCUAAUACCGUAUGAGCCCGAGAGGGGAAAGAUUUAUCGCCAUAAGAUGGGCCCGCGUCGGAUUAGCUAGUUGGUGAGGUAAUGGCUCACCAAGGCGACGAUCCGUAGCUGGUCUGAGAGGAUGACCAGCCACACUGGGACUGAGACACGGCCCAGACUCCUCCGGGAGGCAGCAGGGGGGAAGAUUGGACAAUGGGCGCAAGCCUGAUCCAGCCAUGCCGCGUGUGUGAUGAAGGCCUUAGGGUUGUAAAGCACUUUCGCCGAUGAAGAUAAUGACGGUAGUCGGAGAAGAAGCCCCGGCUAACUUCGUGCCAGCCGCCGCGGUAAGAC
rnacentral:rRNA from 1 species